rnacentral:rRNA from 1 species
UGGCUCAGGACGAACGCUGGCGGCGUGCCUAAUACAUGCAAGUCGAGCGAGUCUGCCUUGAAGAUCGGAGUGCUUGCACUCUGUGAAACAAGAUACAGACUAGCGGCGGACGGGUGAGUAACACGUGGGUAACCUGCCCAAGAGAUCGGGAUAACACCUGGAAACAGAUGCUAAUACCGGAUAACAACAGAUGAUGCCUAUCAACUGUUUAAAAGAUGGUUCUGCUAUCACUCUUGGAUGGACCUGCGGUGCAUUAGCUAGUUGGUAGGGUAACGGCCUACCAAGGCGAUGAUGCAUAGCCCGAGUUGCGAGACUGAUCGGCCACAUUGGGGACUGAGACACGGCCCAAACUCCUACGGGAGGCAGCAGUAGGGAAUCUUCCACAAUGGACGCAAGUCUGAUGGAGCAACGCCGCGUGAGUGAAGAAGGGUUUCGGCUCGUAAAGCUCUGUUGUUGGUGAAGAAGGACAGGGGUAGUAACUGACCUUUGUUUGACGGUAAUCAAUUAGAAAGUCACGGCUAACUACGUGCCAGCAGCCGCGGUAAUACGUAGGUGGCAAGCGUUGUCCGGAUUUAUUGGGCAUAAAGCGAGUGCGGGCGGCUCGAUAAGUCUGAUGUGAAAGCCUUCGGCUCAACCGGAGAAUUGCAUCAGAAACUGUCGAGCUUGAGUACAGAAAAGGAGAGUGGAACUCCAUGUGUAGCGGUGAAAUGCGUAGAUAUAUGGAAGAACACCGGUGGCGAAGGCGGCUCUCUGGUCUGUUACUGACGCUGAGGCUCGAAAGCAUGGGUAGCGAACAGGAUUAGAUACCCUGGUAGUCCAUGCCGUAAACGAUGAGUGCUAAGUGUUGGGAGGUUUCCGCCUCUCAGUGCUGCAGCUAACGCAUUAAGCACUCCGCCUGGGGAGUACGACCGCAAGGUUGAAACUUAAAGGAAUUGACGG